rnacentral:rRNA from 1 species
AUGGCUCAGGACGACGCUGGCGGCGUGCCUAAUACAUGCAAGUCGAACGGUCUUUCUAUGGAAGCUUGCUUCCGCUGAGAAGAUAGUGGCGAACGGGUGAGUAACACGUGGGUAACCUGCCCAUAAGAGGGGGAGUAACAUCCGGAAACGGGUGCUAAUACCGCAUAGUUUUCUUGAUCGCAUGAUCGGGAAGAAAAGACGGCCUUUGUGCUGUCGCUUAUGGAUGGACCCGCGGCGUAUUAGUUAGUUGGUGAGGUAACGGCUCACCAAGACGAUGAUACGUAGCCGACCUGAGAGGGUGAUCGGCCACAUUGGGACUGAGACACGGCCCAAACUCCUACGGGAGGCAGCAGUAGGGAAUCUUCCGCAAUGGACGAAAGUCUGACGGAGCAACGCCGCGUGAGUGAAGAAAGGUUUUCGGAUCGUAAAACUCUGUUGUCAGAGAAGAACAAGUUGGAGAGUAACUGCUCCAGCCUUGACGGUAUCUGACCAGAAAGCCACGGCUAACUACGUGCCAGCAGCGGC